rnacentral:rRNA from 1 species
GACGAACGCUGGCGGCGUGCUUAACACAUGCAAGUCGUACGGUAAGGCCCUUUCGGGGGUACACGAGUGGCGAACGGGUGAGUAACACGUGAGUAACCUGCCCACAACUUUGGGAUAACGCUAGGAAACUGGUGCUAAUACUGGAUAUGUGCUCCUGCUGCAUGGUGGGGGUUGGAAAGCUCCGGCGGUUGUGGAUGGACUCGCGGCCUAUCAGCUUGUUGGUGGGGUAGUGGCCUACCAAGGCGGCGACGGGUAGCCGGCCUGAGAGGGUGACCGGCCACAUUGGGACUGAGGUACGGCCCAGACUCCUACGGGAGGCAGCAGUGGGGAAUAUUGCACAAUGGGCGCAAGCCUGAUGCAGCAACGCCGCGUGCGGGAUGACGGCCUUCGGGUUGUAAACCGCUUUCAGCAGGGACGAAGCUUUUUGUGACGGUACCUGCAGAAGAAGCACCGGCUAACUACGU